CAAGGGAGAGGGGAAGCCGCCUGCAAGGAGAGGGGAUCUCUGCAAUCAGACCCAGUUGGACCCUGUCAUUAGAGGAAAAGCUCUGGGCAGUGACAACAGCGUGCCUGGCCUGCACCCCCCGCAUGGGAACAGUCAGGCAUGGCGUGGGCAUUGCCGAAGUCUCUGCGGUGUCAGGAUGGGAGAGAAGAUAAAGUCGAAACAGGGAAGCAGUUGCAGUCCAGGUGCCAAGCGGACGUUGCACAACCAGCCAUGGGAAGAAAGGCUCAAGGCUGUGACUUUGCUGGCUUCUGCACCCCAAGCAAGAAGAGGUCUGGGAACCGGAUUGGGCUCCAAAUGAUGAAAGUCCAGAGGACUUCAGAGAAAUGUGGCGUUCUCCACUCUGCCCCUCUGCAGACCCGUCUGGAGAUGUGACGCGGCCAGGGCUGCCGUGAGUGUGGGAGGAGAGUGAUUUGGGGUGGCCCUUUGGACCGCUCAGCUGCAAGCUCAGGGCACGACUGGCUGAGGCCAAGGCGUUUCGCCCAAGACAAACAGCCAGGUGCUGCGAGUUGAUCUUUUUAUCUUGUCCUCCCUUGAGAGCAGGCUGGUGUCACCGGAUUUCUUGCCCUUCCCCAUGAGCGAUCCCACUUCCUCUCGCCCACGCAGUCCGCAGAGAAACACGAAGAGGAAAAGAAGCGAGGAAAUGCCCCGCUUUGGGGCCAAGGCAACACCACCACCAAGGCCAAUUCUCUCCCAAACCUUAGAAAGCCUCAGCGAUGGCGAGGGCCCCGCUGCCGGCGGCUGCAGCUGGAGCCAGCAGGUGCCCAGCCAGCUGUGGGAAG